rnacentral:rRNA from 1 species
CACGUAGGGUGCGAGCGUUGUCCGGAAUUAUUGGGCGUAAAGAGCUCGUAGGCGGUGUGUCGCGUCGGCCGUGAAAACCUGCAGCUUAACUGUGGGCUUGCGGUCGAUACGGGCUGGCUUGAGUGCGGUAGGGGAGACUGGAAUUCCUGGUGUAGCGGUGAAAUGCGCAGAUAUCAGGAGGAACACCGGUGGCGAAGGCGGGUCUCUGGGCCGUAACUGACGCUGAGGAGCGAAAGCGUGGGGAGCGAACAGG